CAGAGAGAAUCGUAAGCAGGCUCCAUGCUCAGCGAGGAGCCGGACAGGGUAGGGAGCUCAAUCUCACGACCCUGGGAUCACGACCUGAGCGGAAAUCAGGAGUGCAACGCUCACAGGACAGAGACACGUGGCCGCCCCUCCCCGUGCCUUUACAAGAACCCUGAGCACUAGGCAUGGACGCUGCCUGCCUGCGCAUCCUGUCGCUUCCCCCGUCAGCUGGUCACGCGAUUAGGCUAAGUGGGGACAACUGCUCACUGGCAGUUUCUUCAAGUCUCACCUUCGAACCUGCAGCAAGAACCCCACCGGUGUCACAGGGCGCCGGAGGCAGAGACGAGGUCAUCCGGGCAGCGGGCACCAGCCCAGCCCGCAUGCGCACUGCGGCUCCGCACCAUGGCUCCACCUCCUGCUCGCCUGGCCCCGUCUCGACCGGGCACCUGCUGUGGAUUUGAUCGGCUAGACUGUACCCUCCCCGGGACACAGCUUCGGGUGCUUUCCCUCUGGAUGCUGGCACCGCAGCCUUAGCCCGGUCACAGGCAGACAAAAUGAGGGGGAUGGAGACAGACUUUGAAUCACAGAUCCAUCUUUUGGAGAUUUUCCUCCUUUUAUGCGCCGCGAGAGAGAACAGGAACCCAGCCCCAGAACUGCAGUAUCGGGGAGCGUCGCUAAAAUUCGGCACAGCCAGGCUGGGGAAGAAACACUCUGCCCGCUCCGCGAGGGCCAUCUUGCCACCUUCAAUCGAGCACCAAGGAGACAGAGAUGAUACUAAAGGAAAAUUUAUUUGGGAAAAAUGAACCACAUUUAUUUUUUGAGGCACCUAAAAGACUAGAAAUAAAUUGUGAGUGAUGGUCCGCAUUUAUUCUUUUUUAUUAUCAUUACUAUUCAGAGCGGCCUGCCUCACGCUGAUUACACCCUUUUCACAGCAGGCCCCAAGACAAUUCGUCUCCCUUUGUCACGGCCAAGGCCCUUUUCCCCCUUUGCUAGAGUUGAAAAGGACAAACUAGGGACUCUUAAGGCCUCGGUGUUGGAGGCUGUCAAGAAAAUGACACAGGCCAUUAUUUCUAGACUCUUGAAAUGGCGUUUCCCGAAUUUCGGUGUAUUUCAUGACAAACACACCAGGUUCCAGGAACAGCACGUCAUUACCGUGUGAUGCUGAAAUCACUUCGGCCUCAGCUAAAGAGAAAGCCGAUAAUCAGAAGCAGUGUGCUGCAGGGAGGGGCGCCUGGGUGGCUCAGUCGGUUGAGGGGCUGGCUCUUGAUUUCGGCUCAGGUCACGAUCUCACGGUCGUGAGAUCGAGCCCCGCGUCCGGACCCGUGCUCAGGGUGGAGCCUGCUGAAGACGCUCUCUCUCUCUCCCCCUCCCUGGCCUGCGCAUGCGCACGCCCUC